rnacentral:rRNA from 1 species
UGGGGAAUAUUGCACAAUGGGCGCAAGCCUGAUGCAGCCAUGCCGCGUGUAUGAAGAAGGCCUUCGGGUUGAAAAGUACUUUCAGUCGGGAGGAAGGUGGUAAGGUUAAUAACCUUGGCAAUUGACGUUACCGACAGAAGAAGCACCGGCUAACUCCGUGCCAGCAGCCGCGGUAAUACGGAGGGUGCAAGCGUUAAUCGGAAUUACUGGGCGUAAAGCGCACGCAGGCGGUUGAUUGAGUCAGAUGUGAAAUCCCCGGGCUUAACCCGGGAAUUGCAUCUGAUACUGGUCAGCUAGAGUCUUGUAGAGGGGGGUAGAAUUCCAUGUGUAGCGGUGAAAUGCGUAGAGAUGUGGAGGAAUACCGGUGGCGAAGGCGGCCCCCUGGACAAAGACUGACGCUCAGGUGCGAAAGCGUGGGGAGCAAACAGG